UUGAGACCAAACCGAGCUCCACAGCCGAACAGAGCUGGGACUCUGGCAGCGUCCCAGCAGACACGGUGGCUGUGUGUCAAUCAGUGGUAAUCAACGGAGACUAACCCAAGGCCUUCCUCCACAGGGACCCCAGGGCCCUGACGGGAGGGACGGCAGACCUGGCAACCCCGGCCCUGCUGGGCCCCCAGGACCCCCUGGCCUCGGCAGAAACUUUGCUGCUCAGUAUGAUCACAACAAAGGCGCUGAUAUUGGUCCCGGCCCCAUGGGAAUGAUGGGAAUGAAAGGCCAACCUGGACUUCCCGGCCCCCCUGGAGAAAGAGUGAUAAUCCCUUGAGUCCGGACUUUGUUCCAUCUCUUUUCAACUACGUUCCAUCUCCAGAGAAGAGGAAAAGAAAAAUGAGACUGGAGGUUUUCAACAGACGACAGAGAGCAAAGCUACAGAAGAUGGAGCAGACAAAGCUAUCUGCGAAAGCCAUCCCUCCCAGAGCAUCAACAGAUUGUCCCCAAGACUGCAACAAGGAUCCUACUGCAGAGCAAAGUCCCACCACAGAGCCUUUGAAGGAAUCUACCCAUGAAGAACCUGGAAACGAUGUCCAGCCUGUUCUCCAUGAGGAGGAUCCAGCAACCCCACCAUGCACCACUGAAACCUGUGGUAAACGCGUCCAAUCUCUUGAGCAAGAAUGCCAAGCUCUGAGGACUGAAAAUAUGUUGUUGAAGGAAAAAAAUGAAUAGGACUACACUGAAUGAGAUGAGCUUGCAUAACGAUGAUAAAAGGGUUCAUACUCUCACUGGUUUAUCAGCAUUCUCCAUUCUCAUGACAAUUUUUCAUAUUGUGGCUCCUUUUCUCCAACUUAAAUCUAGUUUAACAUGUUUUCAGCAGUACAUGUUAACUUUAAUUAAGCUUAGAAUGAACUUGUCCUUUGAGUUUUUGGCUUUUUAUUUUGACAUUGACUCAACCACUGUUUCAAAGCUCUUCAAACACUGCAUUAGUGUGAUGCAUUGUAGACUGGUGCCAAGUCUGGUGUUGUGGCCUGACAGAGAAUACUUAAGAAAAUCUCUUCCAUAUGCAUUUCGAAACCGUAGCUUUGAAAAGACAGUUUGCAUUAUAGAUUGUUUUGAAAUAUUUCUAGAGAAACCCAGUAGAUUGCUAGCCAGUGCUCAGUGUUACUCAUCAUACAAAUCACACCACACAAUGAAAUAUUUAAUUGCAAUUUGCCCUCGAGGUUCCAUUUGUUUCAUUUCCGCUGGAUGGGGAGGUCGCACAAGUGAUACGUUUAUCACAGAACAAAGUCACUUUUUAUCUCAUUUGCUCCCAGGGGACGUAGUUUUAGCGGACAGAGGUUGUCUGGUUAAAGAGUCCAUUGAGAGAUGCCAAGCUGAAUUAAAAAUUCCAGCAUUUACUCGUGGAUAGAAGCAGUUAGAUCCUGCUGACUUGGAGAACACCAGACGUCUAGCCUCUCUUAGGAUACAUAUUGAAAGAGUGAUAGGAGUUCUCCGUCAAAAGUACACAGUCUUGCAAAGCACUGUCCCCAUAUGUUUCACGGACAUAGACAGGGAAAAUGAUGUGGCCUACCUUGACAAGAUGGUGAGCGUGUGUUGUGCACUUACAAAUGUGUCUGAAUCUGUGGUGUCCUUCCAGUGAUGGGGAUGUACAGUAAAUUGAACUGAUGUGACUGGCUACAGAUGUGCUCAACCAGCAAAUAAACCUUUGUGACUCACACUUCUUGCUUGCUUGUCGUGACAUUAUUUUUAAUCACUCGCUAUUCUGAUGCGAUCACAUCGUUUCUCUUUGCAGAUCAAGCUGCACAUCCACCCAUUCUAACUUGAGUUCCACCCAAACAGAUAUUUGUUCUGGUGUGUUUUAUAUGAAUGACCCACCCAUGUUUCAUAUCCCUGAUUGCUACAGAUAUCUAAUACAAAUUAUGGGGAAGAGAACAAUAUUGGUUUAACAACUGUUUAUUCAUAAAUAACAGUACAGUAUCAGCUACUACAAACAACUCAUUUCACAGUCUCCUCACUAAGGUUUUCUUCUUUGGGCAUUGAUCACUUUUCGGCAGAUGGGACAUACCCACUGUUUUGGGACCCUUUUCAUGCGAAGGCAGGUCU